AGGGGUAUAGUUCAGUGUGAGCAUUUGAAUGCAGAUCAAGAGUCCUGGUUCAACUCAGGUGCCCCUU
rnacentral:tRNA from 1 species